AACGUAGGAGGCGAGCGUUAUCCGGAUUUACUGGGCGUAAAGCGCACGCAGGUGGCUCGAUAAGUUGGCUGUGAAAGCUCCUGGCUUAACUGGGAGAGGUCGGUCAAGACUGUCGGGCUUGAGGUUGGGAGAGGGGUGUGGAAUUCCCGGUGUAGUGGUGGAAUGCGUAGAUAUCGGGAGGAACACCAGUGGCGAAGGCGGCACCCUGGCCCACACCUGACGCUGAGGUGCGAAAGCGUGGGGAG
rnacentral:rRNA from 1 species